rnacentral:rRNA from 1 species
UACGUAGGGGGCAAGCGUUGUCCGGAUUUAUUGGGCGUAAAGAGCUCGUAGGCGGCCUGUUAAGUCGAACGUGAAAUCCCCGGGCUCAACCCGGGAACUGCGUCCGAUACUGGCAGGCUUGAAUCCGGGAGAGGGAUGCGGAAUUCCAGGUGUAGCGGUGAAAUGCGUAGAUAUCGAGAGGAACACCUGCGGCGAAGGCGGGUUGCUGGGCUGACACUGACGCUGAUGCGCGAAAGCCAGGGGAGCGAACGGG